AGAGCGAACGUUAGCGGCGGGCCUAACACAUGCAAGUCGAACGAGAAUGAGGGGGCAACUCCUCUAGUAAAGUGGCGGACGGGUGCGUAACACGUAGGUAAUUUACCUUCCGGCGGGGGACAACAGUCCGAAAGGAUUGCUAAUACCGCAUACGUCGGCGAGACCUCAGGGUCUUGUCGGGAAAGAUGGCCUCUCCGUUGGAAGCUGUCACCGGAGAUGAACCUGCGGCCCAUCAGCUUGUGGCGAGUACGGCUC
rnacentral:rRNA from 1 species